rnacentral:rRNA from 1 species
AUUGAACGCUGGCGGCACGCCUAACACAUGCAAGUCGAGCGGUAGCAGGACCUGUAGCAAUACAGGUUGCUGACGAGCGGCGGACGGGUGAGGAAUACGUAGGAAGCUGCCUUAUAGGGGGGGAUAACUAAGGGAAACUUUAGAUAAUACCGCAUACUCGCGAGAGAGGAAAGCUGCCGCAAGGUGGCGCUAAAAGAGGGGCCGGCGUCCGAUUAGCCGGUUGGUGAGGUAAGUGCUGACCAAGGCGAUGAUCGGGACCUGGUCUGAGAGGACGACCAGUAACACUGGGACUGAGACACGGCCCAGACUCCUACGGGAGGCAGCAGUGGGGAAUAUUGGACAAUGGGGGCAACCCUGAUCCAGCGAUGCCUCGUGAGUGAAGAAGGCCUUCGGGUCGUAAAGCUCUUUAGUUUGGGAAGAAGGGUGUUAGAGGAAAUGCUAAUACUUUGACGGUACCGACGGAAUAAGCACCGGCAAACUCUGUGCCAGCCGCCGCUGUAA